CUUGGUAACUCUGUGUAUCAGUUACUGCUUAAUUAGUAACAUAGAAUCACCAUAAGUAUUAGAGAAUAGGAAGUAUACCUUACCCAAUUGUGAGUGGACCUGGGGAACAAAACAUCCAAAAAGGAUCAGAGAAAAGGCAUUCGCACAGAUGUUCCCGCUUCUAUGGGAGGACUUUACUCUCAUUUCAGACAGACACUGUGUACUGCAAGGAAACAUCAGACGCCAGAAGAGAAAACAGGAGAGCUGCCACGAAAAGGAUGGCAAAUCUGGGCUGCCUUUUGCAACAUCUGUUGGGAGUCGACAAACUGCCUGGUGAUGGGCAGCCUGGAUUAUACUGAUCAGCUGCAGUGCCAGCUCCUGACCAUGGGGAGAUUGGUUUCCAGGUCUGCUGGGCUGGUGCCGAG
rnacentral:lncRNA from 1 species